rnacentral:tRNA from 1 species
GCGGGCGUAGUUCAGUGGCAGAACGAUAGCUUCCCAAGCUAUAUGUCGCGCGUUCGAAUCGCGUCGCCCGCUCCA